ensembl:lncRNA
GUAAGUGUCUUUUACUAGCCUCUGAGGCGCCUAGACGCGAGACAGGGUGAUUACGUCAGGCAGCAUCCACUACGCCCGCAGAGGGCGUCCGGAGUUGAAACGUGGCUGUUUUAGGUGCAAGCGAAGCUGGAGUCCAGGAGCAGCUGACACCCCGCUGUGUCCCAUAAUGCAUCACCGCAAGCUGGGACCCUUUGUUUCCCAGGACACCCCGCGGUUCCCCGGCACCUCUUCAUCAACUCAGGAAGUGCCUGAUUCCUGCCUUCUGCCAGGGCUGUUUGAGAGAGAAUACCUCAUUCCAUUCUAGAAGUUCAUUUUCUGCUUUAAUAUGUAUAACCAGAAGUUCUUAUCCAAACAAAGAACAAGGAAAAGUCCUGGCCAGAAGAAAUUCAAGAACUGAACUACAUAAUGAGACCUUGUCUCAAAAACAACAACUAUGACAGCAACAACAACAACAACAACAACAACAACAACACAGAAAUCCAAGAUUAGGAUGAAUGACAAACCAGGGAGCCAGUCAGUUUCCAGAAGACUACAUGGGAUAAGAAUCUCAACAAAAGGAGCUGCAGACAAGAAAUCCUCCU